CCAGGGCAGCAGGGAGAGUGAGCUCCCAUCCCACUCCAGGAUGGGUUGCUCCAAACCAUUCCUCUUCUAGAGAGAAGAGAAACUGGACAAACAAACACACAAGUGCCACAUUACCAUUUAUUAUGGAAUUCACAUCAGAUUGAAUGGACUGUCAGUGAGGUAGAAAGGUAGAUUACCAAAAAGGAUCUCUGUGGGUACUAUUUACCAGUGGUGUAAAGUACCUUAAUAAAGUACAAAUCCCCCCAAAAACUACUCAAGUAGUACUUUUACUUUUUAGCUGCACCAACAUGUCAGAGGAUACACUGUUCAACUGACAACAGAGGUCUGCCUGCAGGCUAGAUAGCAAGAUGUGCCAAGUAAAGCCUCCCCAAAACCCUGCACUAACCUGCUGGGCAUAUUGUGAACCGCCCUAUGGGACUCCCGGUCACAGCCGGUAAUGACACAGCCUGGAAUCGAACCCCAGGCUGUAGUGAUGCUUAGAUUGCUGCGCCUAUGGGGAGGCCCUAAAUAAUGUACUUUUCAUUUCAAACAUCUUCCCUGACACCCAAAAGUACUUGUUGCAUUUUGAAUGCUUAGCAGGACAGGAAAAUUGUCCAAUUCACGCACUUAUCAAGAGAACAGCUCUGGUCAUCCUUACUGCCUCUGAUGGCCCUACUCACAAAACACACACACUUUGUUUGUAAAAGUGUUGGAGUGUGCUCCUGGCUAUCCGUAAAUUAAAACAACAAGAACAUUGUGCCUUCUGGUUUUGUUAAUACAUGGAAUUUGAAAUUAUUUAUAGGCUACAUUUACUUUUGAUACUUCAGUAGUGUGACGACCCUGGGUUUUCAGCGGAAAUCGACGCUGCCGCUCGAACAUGCUUUUGCGACACAGUCGAUAGCGCGCCGGACCGCGGGCUCGAAGGUCGAGGGUUCGAGACGUGCUCCAUGCCUGUUUCAUUACACUGGUGUCAGAAGUGAUCGGACCUUGCAUACACGACAGUGCGUGUGCUUGGCCGGUGAGCGCGUUCCUGUAAGACCUAGAGUCGCAAGCUAGCGCGAGGACGCGCUCUUUGAAAGGAGGGAGUAUGUAACGAACCUGGGUUUAUAAGCGCGGAAAUCGAUUCUGCCGCUCGAGCAUGCUUUUGCGGACAGUCGAUAGCGCGCCGGACCUCGGGCUCGAAGACCUGCUCCCUGCCGUUUCAUUACAGUAUAUUUAAAACCAAAUACCUUUAGACUUUUAUUUAAGUAGUAUUUUACUGGGUGACUUUCACUUUUACUUGAUUUUCUAUUAAGGUAUCUUACUUUUAUGUAGGACAAUUGGGUACUUUUUCCACCACUGCUAUUUAACUACUCUUUCAACUAAAGCCAUUUCAUAUUUGCAUUUUAAGC
ensembl:lncRNA